AUAUCAAUAAGCGGAGGAAAAGAAACCAACAGGGAUUGCCUCAGUAACGGCGAGUGAAGCGGCAACAGCUCAAAUUUGAAAUCYGGGGUUUUCAGCUCCCGAGUUGUAAUUUGAAGAGGAUGUUUCGGUUGCGGCUAUAGCUCAAGUUCCUUGGAACAGGACGUCAUGGAGGGUGAGAAUCCCGUACCUGGCUGCUGGCUUGCUUCCAUGUGAAACUCCUUCGAAGAGUCGAGUUGUUUGGGAAUGCAGCUCAAAAUGGGUGGUAAAUUUCAUCUAAAGCUAAAUAUUGGCGGGAGACCGAUAGCGCACAAGUAGAGUGAUCGAAAGAUGAAAAGCACUUUGAAAAGAGAGUUAAACAGUACGUGAAAUUGUUGAAAGGGAAGCGCUUGCAAUCAGACUCGCUUUCGGUUGAUCAACGUUCCUUUUGGUUCGUGCACUCUGCCGUUUGCGGGCCAGCAUCAGCUGGGGCGGUGGGACAAAGACAGCAGGAAUGUGGCUCUCUUCGGGGAGUGUUAUAGCCUGUUGUGCAAUGCCACCAGUCCCGGUUGAGGUCCGCGGUUCGCCUAGGAUGCUGGCUUAAUGGUUGUAAGCGACCCGUCUUGAAACACGGACCAAGGAGUCUAACAUCUAUGCGAGUCUUUGGGUGUCAAACCCAUGGGCGUAAUGAAAGUGAACGGAGGUGGGAGUCUUCGGAUGCACCAUCGACCGAUCCUGAUGUUCUCGGAUGGAUUUGAGUAGGAGCAUAGCUGUUGGGACCCGAAAGAUGGUGAACUAUGCCUGAAUAGGGUGAAGCCAGAGGAAACUCUGGUGGAGGCUCGCAGCGGUUCUGACGUGCAAAUCGAUCGUCAAAUUUGGGUAUAGGGGCGAAAGACUAAUCGAACCAUCUAGUAGCUGGUUCCUGC
rnacentral:rRNA from 1 species